CAAAAUUAAAAGGGAAAUUGAGGUCUAGUUGAAUGCAUGAGAUAAGAAUGGUGAUCACCUAAGUGUUUCUUGUAUCAAGCACAAAGAAGGAAGAAGGCGCAAGUCACUCAAAGGCACAAUCAUCACAAGAUCGCGGUAAAUCUCAUGCUUGAUUGUGGCGCACUCGGACCGAACACACAAUGUCGACCUUUUGCACGCUUCCGGUUCAAGUUGUUUCUUUUGAAUGGGUCGAAACGUCCUUUUGUGUAGUAAAUGUUAAACUAGUUACUAGGAUGACGGUAGUAGUAUGAAGUUAAACUUUGUCUUGAAUAAUUUGGGUUUAAUGUUUUGGGUGAAAAGCGUUAAGCUUAAAAUUUAACAUCUUUGUAAAU